rnacentral:rRNA from 1 species
CUACGGGGUGCUCCAGUCGAGAAUCUUCGGCAAUGGACGAAAGUCUGACCGAGCGACGCCGCGUGCGGGAUGAAGGCCUUCGGGUUGUAAACCGCUGUCAGAGGGAAGUAAAUUUUGACCGAUCCUCAAAGGAAGUACAGGCUAAGUUCGUGCCAGCAGCCGCGGUAAGACGAACCGUACAAACGUUAUUCGGAAUCACUGGGCUUAAAGGGUGCGUAGGUGGUCUAUUAAGUUGGGUGUGAAAUCCCUCGGCUCAGCCGAGGAACUGCGCUCAAUACUGGUAGACUUGAGGGAGAUAGAGGUGAGCGGAACUGAUGGUGGAGCGGUGAAAUGCGUUGAUAUCAUCGGGAACACCUGUGGCGAAAGCGGCUCACUGGAUCUCUUCUGACACUGAGGCACGAAAGCUAGGGGAGCGAACGGGAUUAGAUACCCGUGUAGUC